rnacentral:misc_RNA from 1 species
AGUCGUAACAAGGUAUCCGUAGGUGAACCUGCGGAUGGAUCAUUAACAAAGGUGUAUUUGAAGUUGUGUGAACAGUUGGAGGUGGUGGUGGUGGUGGUGGUAUUGGGUGGUACUGGGUGGUAUUGGGUGGUAUUGGGUGGUAUUGAGUGGUGUAACCUUGGUCUAACCUUGGUCAACCUCACUCAACCUCACUCAACCUCACUCUCCCAACCUCACUCUCCCAACCUCCACCACUCCGUCCCUAUAAUGUAUACAAACUGAUGUCUGCUAGUUUCAAACUAAAACAACUUUUAGCAACGGAUCUCUUGGCUCUC